UAGCCGUAAACGAUACUCGCUAGGUGUCGGCCACGGUGCGACCGUUGUCGGUGCCGUAGGGAAGCCGUGAAGCGAGCCACCUGGGAAGUACGGCCGCAAGGCUGAAACUUAAAGGAAUUGGCGGGGGAGGCACAACAACGGGUGGAGCUUGCGGUUUAAUUGGACUCAACGCCGGGAAGCUCACCGGAUAAGACAGCGGAAUGAUUGCCGGGCUGAAGACCCUGCAUGACCAGCUGAGAGGUGGUGCAUGGCGUAGUCGUGU
rnacentral:rRNA from 1 species